rnacentral:rRNA from 1 species
CCUACGGGAGGCUGCAGUGGGGAAUAUUGGGCAAUGGGCGCAAGCCUGACCCAGCAACGCCGCGUGAAGGAAGAAGGCUUUCGGGUUGUAAACUUCUUUUAAGAGGGAAGAGCAGAAGACGGUACCUAUUGAAUAAGCCCCGGCUAACUACGUGCCAGCAGCCGCGGUAAUACGUAGGGGGCAAGCGUUGUCCGGAUUUACUGGGUGUAAAGGGCGUGCAGCCGGGCAUGCAAGUCAGAUGUGAAAUCUCAGGGCUCAACCCUGAAACUGCAUUUGAAACUGUAUGUCUUGAGUGCCGGAGAGGUAAUCGGAAUUCCUAGUGUAGCGGUGAAAUGCGUAGAUAUAAGGAAGAACACCAGUGGCGAAGGCGGAUUACUGGACGGUAACUGACGGUGAGGCGCGAAAGCGUGGGGAGCAAACAGGAUUAGAUACCCCAGUAGUC